ACUUCCUUAUUAGAAUAUAGAAAUGAUAAGUUCUGUGCGGGACACGUGAAUACGUUUUGGACGUUGGGAAUAGCAUUAAUGUUCCCGUGUUCUGUAAAGUUAGAGGGUCAAUCAAAUUAUCGGUCAUUUCUAAAUGAACAGGAUGUACUUCUUAUUGGUAUUUCUUUUUGUACGUGUCUGGAGUCAGAUGUGCAAACACGGUUGUUGCCUAAGAUUUGUCUGGAAUGUGGAGCUAAGUAGAUGCACACCUUGCGGGGAUGGAUAUUACGGAUAAAAUUGCACCAAGACGUGUACAUAUCCCUAUUUUGGAGAGGAAUGCCGUGAUAAGUGUAAAUGUUCCGUUGACGAUUGCAAUCAUAUGUAUGGUUGUAAAACAUCUGAAGGUAAUCAUCCAUGUGUAUCGUGGGGUGGGGGUAAUUUUUAUCUUGUAAUUAAAUAAUUUCAGUCCAUGAUCAUUACUUUGUCAUUAUCACCAUUUAAUUAGCUAUACCUUUUAUCAUUGACUCAUUUCAACCAUUUUGUGAGAUCCCUAGAUUUGAGGGUGUUGAUUUUCAUAUUGAAAUAAAGCUUUUUC